rnacentral:lncRNA from 1 species
GGAGGUGGUGAUGGCACCGGCGGCGGAGGCGAUCGCGUCUGGCGAGGUGUUCCACACCGGACCUUAUCCGGCGAGGGAAAUCCACGUCACCGCCCACAGGGAAUCCGAGGAACCUGUGUACGAAUCCUGCGUGAGGUUGGCAGAAUCCGGGGACGGGACGAAGCGGGCGUCACGUCACGGGUGACGAACGCCUGCCCCGAUCCAGAGGGGUUACCCGUCCGCUGCCGACGCAGUAUUUUCGCGUGGUCUCGGACGGCUCGAGCGCGCCCGCCGUCGGGCGUCCGCGUUGCCUGCCGGAGCAGUUCCGCUGGUUUGGCCCACGCCCCACCAAACGUCCCGCUCCGAGCGGAUCUAACCCACCUGUCGCCAAACUGAAACGAUGGACGCCGGUUUCGAGUGCAAGGUCGAGGGAGGGGUUGGAAUCGUGAGCGGGACGAUGAUGACACCAACGUAUCGGUUCAGAUCUAGGUUAUUUUCGCAGUGAAUCGAAGUCCGACCCUGAGAAGAGAUGUGGAGAUCUCCACGAUGAACAUGUAAGAUCACAUCCAGACAUAUAUUCGGCAUUUUUUUUUUUAUAUUUGAAUGAAUUUAGGUUCAAACGAUUCGAUUUGACAUUCAAUUUUUUUGCGAGAGCAAAUGUACGAAGAAUUUGGAUCAUGAUUUCUAUAGGACUGAAUCAUUCACCAUGUUAUUUUAAGGGUGAUGAUGCCUUACCCAUGCGACAAAAGAGACGUUGAUUAUACGAUGAAUGGUAAAGUGUCAAUUAUAAUGAUAAUGAGAUGUCAAUCACACAGUAAUUUCAAUAGUCUCCACAGUGUC